rnacentral:rRNA from 1 species
GAUGAACGCUGGCGGCGUGCCUAAUACAUGCAAGUAGAACGCUGAAGGAAGGAGCUUGCUCUUUCCGGAUGAGUUGCGAACGGGUGAGUAACGCGUAGGUAACCUGCCUGGUAGCGGGGGAUAACUAUUGGAAACGAUAGCUAAUACCGCAUAACAGUAGAUGUUGCAUGAUAUCUACUUAAAAGGUGCAAUUGCACCACUACCAGAUGGACCUGCGUUGUAUUAGCUAGUUGGUGAGGUAACGGCUCACCAAGGCGACGAUACAUAGCCGACCUGAGAGGGUGAUCGGCCACACUGGGACUGAGACACGGCCCAGACUCCUACGGGAGGCAGCAGUAGGGAAUCUUCGGCAAUGGACGGAAGUCUGACCGAGCAACGCCGCGUGAGUGAAGAAGGUUUUCGGAUCGUAAAGCUCUGUUGUAAGAGAAGAACGAGUGUGAGGGUGGAAAGUUCACACUGUGACGGUAUCUUACCAGAAAGGGACGGCUAACUACGUG